rnacentral:ncRNA from 1 species
GAAUCCCUGUGAUUCCUUAGCAGCUCUCGAUAGAAAUGUCGAGAUGAAAAACUGGGAGAAUUGUCGUGAAGCCUUCUUCCAUAACAAUGGAAAUGGUAACCCGCAGCCGAGCCCUUUAUAUCAUAUAAUAUAUCGGGAAGGUUCAGAAACUAUGCACCCAGAUCCCCUACUUUAUAAAAGUGAGGAUAAGAUAUAGUUCCGCAUCCGAUGGAAACAUCGGG